UCUAACCCAUGCAAUUUUAUAUUUGUUGAGAAAUCUAAUAUGAUCAUGGAUGGGAGGUAUUGGAUAGACAGGUUUUGUUUCUAAAAUGCAGAGAAAUGUUUUGCUCAAUUGCAAUCUCCCCCUGCAAAAAAAAACCCCAAAGGAGUAGGUGACCUUGUUGAUCAUAAGAGCAAGAGUAAGAGAAAAGGUAAAGGGAAUUUGAAGAGGCUUUAUGGGAAUUCAGGGCACUUUAAGCAUUAGUGAGAAGCAAAAGCAUAGCAUAAAGUAGAGAUAGUGGAGGGAUGGAUUAAGGUUGAUAUCAUUCCCCAAAAUCUGGCACCUGGGUUGGCCAGACCCCGAUCUCGCAUCUCAAGGACAUGACUCGAAUAUAAUAUAAACAUAAAUCGCAAUUCAUUAUACAAUAUCAUUCCACACAACAUACACUUCCUUAAUACAAAUAUUAAAAUAUCUAAUCACAACCAUCUAAAAAUUCAAUCGCUCUUCCCACUAUAACUCUUCUUAUAAUGAAUUUGAACUUGAAAAGGGAAACUAGAAUAGACAGACAAAAAUAAAAGGCUAGAACUUUGCUCCACUGACUUGAUCUUGAUCUUGAAAUUGAAUUCCCAAAAGGGUGAGCUUAUACGCGCUUAGUGAUUUUUUUUUUUUUUUUUUUACAAGUUAAAAAAAAAUAUUAUCUUUCAAAUCUAGUAUGAGUUCAAAAAAUAACAUGUUCUAAAUAUGCUAGGUUUUCAAAUAUAGUAAGGUUCCAAAUAUGUUAGGCUCACAAAUAUAGAUUUUUUUUUUUUUUUUUUUAAUAGAAACUAGCACUUAAACAAAAACGAAUAAUACAAUAUGGUUAGAAUCAUGAAUGAUCACAAGAAAGAGCUAGAAUUCGAUGCUAAUAGAAAUCAUGAUAUCAAAUCAAAUGGUGCAUGAAUGUAGUAUACAAGAAUUGCGCCAUCAUUAACAAGUACAGAUCAUCAAUACACAAGGGCCUUUUUAUCAUCAGUAGAUCAAAACUCUCUUAACCCUGACCUUUUGCAGUUUCUAUCAUGCUCAUUCAUGUGAACUCACAGUGAGGGACACAAUCAGCUCGUUUAGGCAAAAUCUACCCGCGUUCUUGUGUAAGUGACAUAUGCUCACUAUACCUGGGCCAAGGUAGGCCAAUAAGAUCCAAUUAGGGUUUAAGGAUGUUUCAACCAUAGGAUCACAGAGCCCUCUUAUUGUGCUUUAUGGGAUUUUCAACAUAAGAGAGUAUUUUUCUCCCUACUAUUUGCUAGUGUUCCAAAAAUCCAUGAUCAAUCUUCAGUAUAAGAACUUUUUAAAAAUAAGACUUCCCUAAAGUGGAUUUUUCAUAAAUAAACUUACCAAAAAUAGAAUUUCCAUGAUCAAAAGUUUCUAAAUCUAAACCUUCCAUGAAUGUGCUUUCUAAAGAUAGAACUUUCAAAAUAUUUAUUUUGUUAACUUAUUUUUUCCAAAGCAAACCUUUCAAAUUCACAUACCAUUCCAUGAUUAUUUUCAAAUCAUGAAAAUUAACUUCCAUCAACAUACAUGCUUAACCAAGCAAGAAUCUAAACCCUUUCAACACAUAAACGAAACAUGUAUGGAUUUCUAAAAAUUACAGCAACAAAAGACUUAAUAAAAUCAUUGUUGGACUUUAGUGAAUUUGAAAUAAAAAUCUUUACAAUUAGUUUAUUUCACAUCAUAGUUAUAAGAUCACAACUAUUGAACAAUACAUCAUAGUUUUCAAGUCUGAUCACUUGAAAAGUGUGCAUCACUAUCCCUAAUGUAAUUGGGAUUCAAAGAAAUUUAUUAAUUAACCCUAGAAUUCUAGAGAAUUGGGGGAAAGAACCCUAGACUUCUUAGGUUUACGGGAAAUUGUGCAUAAUCUCCACAUACAGGUGAAUUUGGGGUUUAUUGUCGAACGAAUCUAGCACUUAGGGGUUUUAUAAAAAAUUCUCUAUUCCAACAUGGAUUCCAACAUGAUCGGGUAGGUUUAGUUCAUGCUCAAUGGUUAAAAUUGAACUAGUUUAUGAAUGAACAUGUGGCUUUAUAUGCAUGAGUGGUGAGAAUGAACAUGUACACACACCUACCUAUAUUUAUACACAUAAUUAUAUAAUUACUAACUUUAAAUUAAUCUAAGUCAUAAGUGGGUCCGUCUGGUAUAUAGAUCAAUGGUUAACAAUAGACAGGUCUAACAUACAUAUCAACGGUCACACCUAGCAUAUAUUGAUGGAUGCAUAGCCGAUCAUGUAUGUGCUUAGAUGAAUGGAUAGAUCUAUGCAUGUGUGCUUGGAUGAAUGCAAGUGCACGUUUAUUCGUGUACGUGAAUGCAUACAAAAAUCCUAGGUUAUUGCAUUCUACCUGCUUUAAAAGAUUUUUGUCCUCAAAAUUCAAGCGUGCUUACCAUGUGAAUGAGAGAGGAUGCUUCUCUCUAAUCAAUGGUGUGUCUAAGUGUCUGCUAUAUUUUGUGUGAUGUAAGUUUGUGUGUGCACAAACGUGUAUGAUUACCUAUGAGAAUAUGAGUUAUUAUAGUUGAUGACCUAGUUUGAUACUUUGGUUUAUGGACCUAGUUACUGUUGUCCAUUUGUUUGAGAAAUGGAAGUUUUAAUUGUUUAUAUGGUUGGCCAGGAUUUCUCCUGAUAUCACUACUACUCUAUACUUACUAAGCCUUAUAUGUGUGAUUCAUUAUGUGGAUAUGUUAUAAUUGGUUUUCUCCACUUCUCCAAGGGAAUUUUGAAUUAGGGAUGUACUAAAUACUAUCCAUAGACCUUGGAGAGAUGCUGCGCACAUGUGGCUCAAUUCCAUUGAUGACAUCUAAAAUAUAACUCCAUUGAUGCCUCUGAUGAUGUCUAAUGAGUGGAAAGCAUGAGUCUGCACAAUAUGCUAACCUUAAACUAAUCACAUAUCCAUAUCUUCUUAGAGGAUGGGUGUCACUGCCUAUGAUCUAGAUAGUGCUGAUGAGAGCAAUGACUCUGAUUGUAUCACUCGAUGAUACAUGUUGAAUUACAAGUGUGCUGAAAUCCCAUAAUUGCAAGCAUAUAUGGAUGAGCGAUAUGUUGAUCUUACCCUGAUCCAUGAGCACUAGGUAGCGAUGUUGAUCACUUAAUGGGAUAACGAAGAUAUGAAGGAAGGAGGAGGAAAGUGAAGCCAAGGUCGAGUGCAUAUCGGUCAGGAGUGAGGAGGGGCAUCUUCUUCCAAUGUGUUUGUGUCCACAUACUUAAAUGCUACCGUCACUUUCUUCUUAGCAGUACACACCCACAACAAAGGAGCACUGGAAUCUUCACGGUUUAUAUUAGUGCUGCAUUUUUGGAAGUCAGAAGAAGAGAACUAUUGGAUUGUAUGUAAAUCCCCUGAUUCAUACCCACUGGUAGUAUGACUCUCUCUCCCCUUUGAUUCCACUUCAUUUAUCAUCCAUUAAAACCAUGGAAAUAAUUUAUUAUUGAUUUAUUUAUUUUUGCAGGUGAUCCCAAAGCCAGUUUUUAUGCUAGUUAGCUUUUCAUUUCCCCUUGCAUCUUCUGAUUUAGGAGCUGACACUCCCGAAAAUGAGUUUAUAAUGAACUACCUACAUCUCUCACAGGUUCAUUGUCUGCUUCUUUACUAGAUGUGUAAUGCUAGCAGUUGAUGUGCAUCUGCAGACUCCAAAGAAAUCAGCGCACAUGCUGACGUGUCACAACUGCAUGAGAUUCAAGCCAUUCGUUAGGAUGGCAUGCCUUGUCUUAAUGAUAGUCUGGUCAACUCAUCAGACUCAGAGAAAGAUUGAAGACAGAAGUAGACACCACAGUACUAGAUGAUGAGGCUUUCAACAUGGAAGCAGCGCUUGACAGAUACAUCUUAAGGCUUAUCCCAGCUGCUGCAAUGGUGAUAAAGGGCUAUGGAACUUGCCAGACUACUGUCACAAGUAGCCAAGGGGUGCGAUCAAGCUUGUUACUGCCCUGAAGCUUCCGAUUUCAGCUGAGUGGUUAAAUGGAAUACUAGAGGAAAGAUUUUCAGGGGCAUUGACAUGUCCAAGUUCGGCUUCUAAUCAUUGCGUACCGUAGCCAAAAACCAUAGAGCAUCAGAAGAUUCAGAGACCUUCGAUUCCAUUCCUGCCCCUCAAUUCUGAAAACAAGAGAAAUCAAAAGAGAAGGCUAAGAUGGUAGGGAUUGAAACCAACAAAAACAGCUGGUAUCAGAAAUGCAACAGAAGCGAGCAGUCAGGUCUAGUUUCAGCCACUGGCGAAUCCUUUUGCAAAGGCAUCUAACAGCGAUGAGAAGUUGAAAGAGAAGAUGAAAUUGAAUACAACUGCCACUGAGGGGAGUGCUAAGGAAGAUACAGUUUCAACGGCUUACGGAUCCUUUCAGAAAGGCAUCUAACAACCAGGAGAAGUUGUCUCUUUUCGAGUCUCUCAAGAAGAUGAAGAAGGUCAGCUACGUUAGAAAAAACAAGGGAGGGAAAUAGGAGUGGGUCAGUUUAGCACCUUUACCACAAAAGAACCAGCCCUGAGAAAGAAUGGAUAUACCUUGCAUUGCUCACCGCACUUGAGCUUCAUGCAAUUGUUGAGUUUCUGUUAUUGCCAUAAAGUAACAAAAUGGUGAUAUGAUUGAGAUCAUUGACAUGAAUGAUGACGGAUAUUUCCAUGGUGAUUAUGUAAAGUUUGCUAUGUUUAGCCAUUCAUUGUAUGGCUGGAAAUCUACUGUUAGAUGUGCUUGUAUGGGUGCAGCUCAUGUAAUGAAAUGCUUGAGAAAUAAGAAAGAAGUGCUGUUGUUCCAU